UACGUAGGGGCCAAGCGUUGUCCGGAAUUAUUGGGCGUAAAGAGCUCGUAGGCGGUUUGUCGCGUCUGCUGUGAAAACUCGGGGCUUAACCCCGGGCCUGCAGUGGGUACGGGCAGACUAGAGUGCGGUAGGGGAGACUGGAAUUCCUGGUGUAGCGGUGAAAUGCGCAGAUAUCAGGAGGAACACCGGUGGCGAAGGCGGGUCUCUGGGCCGUAACUGACGCUGAGGAGCGAAAGCAUGGGGAGCGAACAGG
rnacentral:rRNA from 1 species